rnacentral:lncRNA from 1 species
GUUGCUGUUGAUCGUUGAGCUCUGAUUUUUAUCAUUGCAAGUUAUCUUCUCCCUUUCCUGGCAUAUCAAUCUGUUGCGGCCAACUCCCUCAUCGUCUAUCGUCGGGAAUGAGAACCUGCAAAAUAACAUCCACACUGACCGGAGUUAUCUCCGACGGAGACCCUCCGAUGCUUAAGUCAAAGAGGGAGACUGGAUAACAGUAUUUUUGAAUGAGAAAGGUGGCAGAGUUAAGCUUGAAAGUGGCUUACCGAUGCUGUUGCCUUACCUCCUUUUUAUAGAGAAGAUAGUUGUAACCGUUAGAUAUGGUCCUACAUUUUAUGGCACUAAUCAUCGAGCCAUAAUCACGUAGUGGAUCGUUAACUCCCACUGAUCGCAUCGUGAUAUGCGGCCGGUGACCGUUCGUGACAGUUAUGGUAUAUUUGGAUUGACUGGCC